UUGUAACAUUCAAUGCCGGUGGUAAUCCCGUGCUCGCAUGUAAAGCAUCUCCAUUUAUAUCUAAAUUAGAAAGCUGCGCUGUACGCCCUUGCAAUUUGAACUGAUCUCGGGAAAAUGACUUUAACCAGUACUUCAAUGUAUACUCCAAUGCUCUAGCUAGUAUCGACUCCAUCUCUCACCAGAUCUAACACAACGGUGAAGUUCACCGGCACCGGAAAUCGACUUCGGCGGCUGGGUGAUGUGAAUGUGAGAAAUGGAUAUAUGGAUUGGUGAAAAGGGAUGAGUCGGUAGCACGUAGGAAUCACGUGCGAUAGAGAUUCGGUGGGACCUGGGAGCAGUAUAAUUAACUUCCGGUGAUGGUGUUGAAGUAAUUACUACUACAAAUUAUAGUGAAUUG
rnacentral:misc_RNA from 1 species